CAUCGGCUUCUCUAACUAGAGAUUAGCUUCUCCAUAUAGAGAUAUACUUUAUACUUGGAAUCAACCGCUCCACCUAAAUUCUCUCUCGUAAAGUUUCAUAUUAUCAAUAAUAAUAUUUGUUGGCUAAGUUUUCUCUUUUGCUCCUCUUUUUCCAAAGGGAUGGGUACUUCGAUCCUUUAGGUCAGACUUGUGGGGAAAGGAAACACUUCGACAAGUAUACUUGUUGCAAUUGCAACAUAGGACUUUGAAGUGCUUUCCAUAAUUAUGAAAUUAAAUUUUCUUUGUCCUUGCAACAUAGAUUUAUAUGUACUUUCCAUGUUUAUGAAAUAAAAUUUGCUUGGUUUGCAUAAUCUUUCUGAUUUGCUUUUUUUUCUGCUUAUAAACACGUAAAUCUGAGGUAUGGCAUAGUGCACAUUUGUUCCAUAGAUUGUUGAGAGUGCUAUGUUUGAUGGGAGAACCACGAAAAGCCCGUGCAGGUCAUAUAUGAAACAACUACAUCUAUAUUAGAAUACUUAUGAUUUCAUGUGUUUAAAGACUAGCGAAGUCAAGGUAUCCCAUUGAGUGUUGAGAAACCUUUAUUUGUGGCAAACCAUCCUUUAAAUAUUAGUGGAUGUAUAGCCCCAAUCGUAAGAAAGCUAUUAUGUGUUAAUUAAAGAUUUGAUUUUGAUAGUGAUGUGAAAUAGCCUAUCAUGUUGGAAAGGUUAGAGUUUGUGGUCUGUAGUAUCGAUGAGAGCUUUGAUUUUAUGUGGCAUGCCACCUACAUGGUUAUGAAACCACCUUUAAUGUUGGAAAGUUUAGAGCUCUAUUGUAAUCGCCUAGUUAAUAUAUGCAUAUGGUGUCACUCUGGGCCCUAUUGUCCCUAGUCUAUUUGGUAUGUUAAUAAAGAUCAAAAUCUAAAAUGUUUUAUGAAGUGAGCUUGCUAUGUUUUGAAUUGCACAUUUUCUCUUAUGUUUUCUUAAUGUAAUGUCCCAUUUUGUGAUAGGGUGUAGCGGUCUAUCACACAUGCAAGUGCACAUGAUCGUACAGUAAUAUAGUGACUUAAAGAAUUGGACAUCAUACCCACGAGGAUUACUUGAUUAGUAAUUUACUUAACUUCAGUUUCGACAAUAAUGUAUUCAAGUGUUUUAGAGUAUCAAAAUGGGUUGAAUGAUUUAAUGAAUAAUUUAAGAACUAAUUAAAUAACAAAGUAGGACAAUGGAAACGUAAGCUAGGUUGUAAACAAUAUGAG
rnacentral:lncRNA from 1 species